rnacentral:rRNA from 1 species
UACGAAGGGGGCUAGCGUUGCUCGGAAUGACUGGGCGUAAAGGGCGCGUAGGCGGUUUGCAUAGUCAGACGUGAAAUUCCUGGGCUCAACCUGGGGGCUGCGUUUGAUACGUGCGGACUUGAGUUCGGAAGAGGGUCGUGGAAUUCCCAGUGUAGAGGUGAAAUUCGUAGAUAUUGGGAAGAACACCGGUGGCGAAGGCGGCGACCUGGUCCGGUACUGACGCUGAGGCGCGAAAGCGUGGGGAGCAAACAGG